rnacentral:tRNA from 1 species
UAGCUCAGGGGUAGAGCACUCCGACUUUUUAAGUCGGAGGGGUCGAUGGUUCGAUUCCAUCCGCGCUCACUA